rnacentral:rRNA from 1 species
UACGGAGGGUGCAAGCGUUAUCCGGAUUCACUGGGUUUAAAGGGUGCGUAGGUGGGCAAUUAAGUCAGCGGUGAAAUCUCCGGGCUUAACCCGGAAAUUGCCAUUGAUACUAUUUGUCUUGAAUUAUCUGGAGGUAAGCGGAAUAUGUCAUGUAGCGGUGAAAUGCUUAGAUAUGACAUAGAACACCAAUUGCGAAGGCAGCUUACUACGGAUAUAUUGACACUGAGGCACGAAAGCGUGGGGAUCAAACAGG